rnacentral:rRNA from 1 species
AGAGUUUGAUCAUGGCUCAGAUUGAACGCUGGCGGCAGGCCUAACACAUGCAAGUCGAGCGGCAGCGGGAAGUAGCUUGCUACUUUGCCGGCGAGCGGCGGACGGGUGAGUAAUGUCUGGGAAACUGCCUGAUGGAGGGGGAUAACUACUGGAAACGGUAGCUAAUACCGCAUGACGUCGCAAGACCAAAGUGGGGGACCUUCGGGCCUCACGCCAUCGGAUGUGCCCAGAUGGGAUUAGCUAGUAGGUGAGGUAAUGGCUCACCUAGGCGACGAUCCCUAGCUGGUCUGAGAGGAUGACCAGCCACACUGGAACUGAGACACGGUCCAGACUCCUACGGGAGGCAGCAGUGGGGAAUAUUGCACAAUGGGCGCAAGCCUGAUGCAGCCAUGCCGCGUGUGUGAAGAAGGCCUUAGGGUUGUAAAGCACUUUCAGCGAGGAGGAAGGCGUUGUAGUUAAUAGCUGCAACGAUUGACGUUACUCGCAGAAGAAGCACCGGCUAACUCCGUGCCAGCAGCCGCGGUAAUACGGAGGGUGCAAGCGUUAAUCGGAAUUACUGGGCGUAAAGCGCACGCAGGCGGUUUGUUAAGUCAGAUGUGAAAUCCCCGAG